AUACAAUGUAAAAAACCUAGUUUGCAUGCAUACCAAAACUAAGUUUUGUUGUGCAAUGCAUUUUUAUAAAAAAUCUGAAUAUUUAUAUUUUUUCACGAUAAAAUAAGACAAGACGAAGUUGUUUAAUUUCAAAUUUCAUGCGCGCUUCGCGUUACCAACUUUCCAGUCCAAAAACGCGGGUCUGCACUGCCUGCGGAAACACGUCCGGACGUGUCCAGACUCCUGCAGUCUGCGCACAUCGCAGUAACUUGAACUUGACUUGAAUGUUUUGGCGGUCCAUGUCUGCAUGCCCUUAAUUUCUAUCUGUACUUCCUGCGUUACCACCGAUCAGCGAUUAUCUUUAUUAAAGGCAGACUCAAAAGGACGCACGAAGAAAGCAUUUUCGACAUACUUAGAGUUUUUUAUAUUUGAGUCAGCUAAAAUCUUCUUCAGAAAAAAGAACAAAAACCUAGAAAAUGGACAACUCGCAUAUAAACAGCACUUCUGAUGAUGAUUCUGAUUCUGAUAGAAAACGCGGACGUCAUCUGUGCAGGGACGACGACUACCACUUGGACAGUAAUGAUAGUAGCAUCGUCACGUACUUGUAAAUAACCUUCUCCACCCCCGCCACCAAAGGAACCAAAAGUUAAACUAAAGUACGAUGAUGAAGAAGACUACAACUAUAAAGAUACAGAGAUUUAUGAGGCAAACUACAAAACAGCAGAAUUUGAUAUAAAGUCACUUGAUGAGAAAGACAACGAUGACGAUACUAAGACUGAGAAGGAGGUCACCUCCAACAUACCAGAAUACAGAUCUAUUAAGCUAGAUUGCGACUGGUAUAUAAAGGAAUUCUCCGAAUCAGAUUUGUUCAAGGAGAAAGGAUUUGUUCGAUCAAAUGUAUACCGAGCUGGUGACUUUAAUGAAUUACAGUUCUAUUUUGUGAUGGAAAAGAUGGAAGCAGAUGAUGAAACACAUCUGGGUGUGUAUGUUCGUGUUUUGAGUAAUAUACAACUUGAAAAUUUCUUUACUUGCAAAACUAAGUUGUCGAUUACAGAGUACAAAGACACAAGUUAAUCAAACCAAAAAAACAAGCAUUUCCAUGAAAACCAAGGUUUAGAUUCUUAGGAUCAAUGUGCAAAGAAUCAAUUAUGGGUGAUGGUUGGUCACAUGCGCAAUAGGUGCCUGAUGAUUGCCUUGAUCUUGAAUUUGAGAUUUAUGUGUACUACAAAAUUAAACAAUUUAAUGUAGACUUAAGAAAACUGCUAGAAGACAAUAAAGAGAAGGAUAUUACAUUAGUUGUGAAAGGAGAAGAGAUUCCUCCUAACAGAGCUAUUUUGAUGGCACGAACUCCUACAUUUGCAAUGUUGUUGAAUAAAAAAAAGAAAAUAACCAAACUGUAGAUCAAGGAUGUAGAUUCAGAAAUUAUGAAGCAGUUACUAUUGUUCAUGUAUACUAGAUAUGUGUCUAAGUUGUUUACUUAUGCAGACAAACUUUUAGCUGCAGCAGAGAAAUAUCAGUUGGAAGAUUUAAAAGCCAUGUGUCAAAAAGUUUGUUAAAUAGAAGUCAAGUAACUUUCAUCGACUAAGUCGUAUCUUUUCAUAUUUGAUCAAACAAAAAAUUAAAGUUUAAAAUUGUAAGAAAUAACGAUUAGUACUGUCUACUGUGAUAACGUUUCAUUAUAUAUUUUUAAAAUUCAAUAAAAUAUAAUUAUCUGCAAACAUCGA
rnacentral:lncRNA from 1 species